rfam:Gossypium arboreum cultivar AKA8401 contig_6367_7, whole genome shotgun sequence.
UGUUAAAAAUUUCAUCCAUUUGUACCGUAAAAAAUUGGUUUGGUUGACGGGUUAUCAGAUAAUAACACGUGACUUGUUACGUUUACGUCAUGUUGAUAUAUAAUGAUUAAUUUUUAAUAGUAAAAAUAGAUGAAAAUUUUCCCA